AACAAAAAACUUCGUUAAACCCCAGCAGAGCGAGGGCGCGCGGCGGCGGGGCGGCGGGCGUAGGCGGCGGGGCUCGGCGAGAAUGUUCGGUUGCGCCACUAGCGGCGAGAGUGCGGGGCGAUAGCCGACGGCUUGAGCGCGUGAUUGAAUUAGCGGUCAAGCGGGGGACGCGCCGGCUCGGGCUGCGGUAAUUCCCCAAUCGCCUCUUGCUUCGGCGCCCGAGAUUGAGAGCCCCCACGGGCCAGGCGCCGCAGGACCUCACCGGAGUGGUGGGCAUGCCGGCGGCGAUGAGAGGUUGCCGUGCCGGCGGCGAGCGGCGAUAGCAGGCUGUCUCCCUCACAUUCUCAGCCUACAAUGUUAAUCGAAGCUGCGCUAACUGGCUCGGGUUGAUUUUCCAAUAAAAGGAAUUUUUCAUGUAACUUGUCCUAUUAUUUCCUGGGUGGUCCUCACUGUUAACUUUUCAAGGAAGUUUGCUCCAUGAAGUACAAAAGUAGUGGACAUUCUUCCUUCUUCCGCUUAUGCUGUCAGUGUAAGGAGGGGAUUGGCGGCCCUCUUCUAUGCACCGAGCAGUGCUAAGUUUCAUGCGUCAAGCCCUUGUAAAAAGAAGCUGCCCUCCGGCGUUGCGACUUUACUCUGUGGCUUGUUGCUUGAAGAGCUUAGAUCAUCAAGAACCUGCUGGAAGCUUCUUUUUCAGCGAGUAUAAAAACCCGUGUCUUCCUCCCUUGAUCACACUAGCAGUUCGUACAUCAAACUGGAACAAGGCCAGGAAGAUUACCUUCAGGGAGUGUGUGAAGUUAUAUGGGCUAUCCCGGUCAGUUGGGCUGUUUGCAUUGCUUAUGCAACCCUUCUUGCCGCGAAGAAUCAGAGAGAUCCGGUGCUUCAUACGGAGCAUUGUUGAUUACUGUGGAAGUGCUGGCCCAGAGUUGUUUGAGUUGGCACCUAUGUUGGUCAGUAAUUUGGGUGGGUCAAUGACAUUACUACAAGUUCAUGCUACAGCCAUUCGGGUUUUUGUAGAGUUGUCAAUGUUUGAGGAUGCUCUUCUCACUUACAUUGAGGCCAAGAAGGUUGGAGUUGAACUGCAGUUGUGCAACUUCCUGCUGAAGUGUUUAGUGGAGAGGAAUCAAAUCAUGUCUGCGAGGAGUUUGUUUGAUGAUAUGAAUACUUCUGGUCCAUCACCAAAUGUGUACUCUUAUUCAGUUUUGAUGAGUGCUUAUACACAUGGAGAUAGGUUAUGCUUGGAGGAAGCUUUUGAGCUUCUGUGUGAAAUGGAAAUGAAAGGCGUGAAACCGAAUGCGGUAACCUAUGGCACUUACCUCUAUGGGCUUUGCCGUACCAGACAUGUGUCAUCUGCAUGGAAUUUUCUUCAAAUGCUUUGUCAGAGAGGCUACCCUCGCAACAGUUAUUGUUAUAAUGCUGUGAUUCAUGGUUUCUGUCAUGAGGAUCAGGUUCACAAAGCCAUGGAGGUGUUUGAUGGGAUGAAGAAGGGCGGGUUUAUCCCAGAUGCCCAUAGCUAUAGUAUAUUAGUUGAUGGGUUAUGUAAGCAAGGGGAUCUAUUGGCAGGCUAUGACGUGCUUGUCGAAAUGGUAAGAAAUGGGAUUGCUCCUACUCUGGUCAGUUAUACUUCACUUUUGCAUGGUCUUUGCAGAGCUGGAAAGGUUGAAUUGGCAUUUGACUUGUUUAGGAGGCUCAAAGAACAAGGUGUCAAGCAUGACCACAUAGUUUACAGCAUUUUUCUUGCUUGUUGUUGCCAACAUUUGGAUCUGGAGGUUGUCUAUGACCUUUGGAAUAACAUGGUUCAUCAUAAUUUUAUUCCAGAUGCUUACGACUAUACUAGUCUAAUAUAUGCAUUCUGUAGACAUAGUUACCUCAAAGAAGCAUUGGGAGUAUUCGAACUCAUGUUUGAGAAGGGAAUAAGCCCGAACAUUGUGACAUGCACCAUUCUAGUUGACAGUUUCAGCAAAGAAGGGAUGAUCAAUGAAGCCCUCCUAUUCCUGGAUAAAGUACGCCAUCUUGGAAUUGUUCCCAACCUUUGUAUGUACAGAGUUAUCAUAAAUGGUCUGUGCAAGGUCAACAAAUGCGAUGAUGUGUGGGCCUUUUUUGCAGACAUGAUAAAAAGAGGCUGUGUUCCUGAUACUUUCAUCUAUAGUAUUAUUAUUGAUGGCUGUGUGAAAGCACUGAAACUUCAGGAGGCUUUCAGAUUGUUUCAUAAAAUGUUGGAUGAGGGUACAAAACCUAAUAUAUUCACAUAUACUAGCCUAAUAAAUGGUCUUUGCCAUAAUGACAGACUUUCUGAAGCUGUGACAUUGUUUAAGCAUAUGAUUUGGGAAGGAUUGACACCAGACAGGAUUUUGUAUACAUCUCUUAUUGCAUGCUAUUGUAAGCGUUCAAACAUGAAGGCAGCUUUGGAAAUUUUUAGAGAGAUGGAGAAAGGGGGUUUGUCAGCAGAUGCUUUUGUUUAUACUUGUUUAAUUGGGGGCUUCAGUAAAGUGCUUGCGAUGGAUGGCGCACAAUGGUUGAUGGAAGAAAUGAUAAAUAAGGGGCUUACACCUACUGUAGUAACUUAUACAGAUAUCAUAGUUGGAUACUUCAAAACUGGAGAUGAGAAGAAAGCUCAUAUGAUGUAUAACAGUAUGCUCCAGGCAGGCAUUACACCAGAUGACAAGCUGAGUAGUAUGUUGGGAUUUGGCAAUGAUGGAGAUAGUUUUCAGGACUCCCUGGAAGAGAAGGAUAUAUCAUAAGUUUUCAAAUUGUGCUCUAUGGGUGAACGAUUACUUUCAACAAUUCACUGGUGGUGGAGAGGGAGAGCAGUUGAAAAACUUGGUAUACAGUGAGCAGCUCUCAGUGCUGUAGCGAGCUUGUACAAGCGAUACUAGAAUUGCGAGGGCCUUGUGUAUCAAAGUGGCCUGAAGACAUAAGCAUGUCUAUCCACGUAUUCCUUAAGUUUUCUUAUUUGAUAGUCAACUGAGAAGCAUUUUUAUUGAGAUGAAAGCAGAGAGCAGCCGUGAUUGAUGAGAUCUGGCAUACAGCAUGUCAUUACAGACCCAGGAUCAGAUCUAGACUGGUGUCUGUGUGUCAAGUGAACAGUGCUAGGCAGCAUCUAGGCAAUCUCAGAGAUGUAUAUGAUAACCUACAGUUCACCAGGGUUUCGUGUUACAUGGACUUCUGUGGAUGAACAUAUCAAAGACGAUCUUGAUCUUCAGAGUACUGCUCAAGAGGAAGAGGUGCAGGCUAUUAUACUUGUAGCAGAAAGCAUGGGAGAAGGCACUCGGCGUGCUUUGAAUAAAAUUGUGCAGUUGAGGCUGAGAAACUUGUAUGUUGCUUCAUAUUCCUCUUUCCCUUCAGCAUCACACUUCCUUUAUACCAUGUAUUUUAUGUGUGAUAGAAAAAUCAUAUAGUUUUGGUCUCUGUCUGUUCACAUUCAUAUUGCCAUGUACCGAAGUAUAACAAUUCAUAGGUUCACUUUUUUAACUAAAACCACGACAAGAAUUAUGGAACGUAGGGAGUACAUAACAAUUCAUGUCACAAGACACAAGUGAAUGCUGCCAGCUUUCCACAGUUGAACUAAGCCGCUUGAUUGGGGAAAUCAAAUUUGUAUUAACAAAUGUAAAUCUAAUAACAAGAGUGUUUGGUUGAUUGAUUCCAUUAAUUCUGUAAAUAAUUGAGGGGUGGAAUCUUCCUUUCUAAAACUUUGAAUUUCAUGGGUACAUUUUAGUCAUUUUGUUUGUUACUCUUCAUGGCUACUAUUUAUUUCAAGAGCCAAAACAUCAAUAUUGCUACCUGUAUCUGACCAUUUGAAAAGAGAAUAUUGUUCUUUUAUAUAGUGCAGCCCGGUACAUGAAUAUGGCAUGCUAUUUCGCAAGAGAACGUGCACAUCAAUUACUGUUAGAUUUAGGUUUAACUUCAUUACCUAUCCUAAGCUAGUGCACCUAUAUGAAACUCUAGUGGAAGUGUUGGGUCAUUACCAUAGUUGAAAAGCAGAGUCCCAUGGUCGUGUGCCUCCCACUCUCCCAGCAGCGAGGAGUUGGUCAACAGACGUGUAGGAUUCCCGCGGCACAACCUUGUGGUGGCCGGUGGUGGUGGAUGGUCUUCGCCUCUCUCAACUAGGUAUAAUGUGUUUCUUUUGCACCGUGCCGAUGUACUCCUGUGUCAUUAUAAUAGGACUUAUGUUUCUUUUGGGCCUAUGUCCCGGUGAAUCUCAAUACAAGUAAUGCAUGAGUCAUCACCAA